GGGUACUGUAGGUAGGGGUAAGGUAACAACAGGUAGCCUCAAUAUUAACAGAGGGUACUGUAGGUAGGGGUAAGGUAGAGGCAGGUAGUCUCAAUAUUAACAGAAGGUACUGUAGGUAGGGGUAAGGUAACAACAGGUAGUCUCAAUAAUAACAGAGGGUACUGUAGGUAGGGGUAAGGUAGAGGCAGGUAGUCUCAAUAUUAACAGAGGGUACUGUAGGUAGGGGUAAGGUAACAACAGGUAGUCUCAAUAUUAACAGAGGGUACUGUAGGUAGGGGCAAGGUACAACAGGUAGUCUCAAUAUUAACAGAGGGUACUGUAGGUAGGGGUAAGGUAACAACAGGUAGUCUCAAUAUUAACAGAGGGUACUGUAGGUAUGGGUAAGGUAGAGGCAGGUAGCCUCAAUAUUAACAGAGGGUCCUGUAGGUAGGGGUAAGGUAGAGGCAGGUAGCCUUGAGGUUACAGUGCUGGGCCAGAAACCGAAAGGUUGCAGGUUUGAGUACCGGAGCGGACAAGGUGAAAAAUAUGUUGUGCCCUUGAACAAGGCACUUCAUCCUAAUUGCUCCAGGGGCGCUGUACG
rnacentral:lncRNA from 1 species